UCUGCAAGCAUGUGAGCCAUUUCUAGGCUGCAGCUCUGGGGAAGGAGGCUCUAGGUCAUCCCACAAAUAAUACACAGCUGCGACACUGGAGUGAGUAGCUUCCCUGCGGAAUGUCUCCUUCUGGUUCUGGCAAAAGGCUUAAGGGCUGGAGCUUAGAUUAGAUCAAUUAGUCUCGAUAAGGUGUCCUUGAUGUAGUUAGGCUGUUAGGAGAAAAGUGAGGAGAAAGAGUUUAAUUUGGGCUGGCCUGUGUCCAGGCAAGGGGAUGUCUUCCUGCAAGGUCUGGGAGUGGCUGAUGAAAGGCAGGCAGCGCGCCAUGGUGUGAAGGCUCUGUGUGUCUCCUGUCACUGCCCGUGCCCUCAGCUCUUUGUCCUCUGACAGGGCAGCAUAAAGCGAGACAGGGGACGCAGUCUGUGCUGUUGGGUUGCAGGCAGAGUCUGAGAGAUCUGUCUGUGUUCCGUGAGAUUUUAGAGGCAGUGCUGGGGCGCGUGGGAGCAGUCCAAGCCAGGCAGGCUGCCUUGAGUUUCAGGGGCCUUUGUGCAGCACCAGACGUGCGUGUCCUAGAAGUACGUGAUGGAGCACAUCCUGGGAUGGAGGUGCCAUGGACUGGAAAAUCCUGCUCUGAACGUACAGGCUUGGCUGAGUCCGUGUCUGAAGAGCAAACUCUCAGGACCCAAGAACGUGGAGGCAGAAUGUGAGCUUGUGAUGUAUCUUGGGGCAUUUCUAAUGAGGACGGAACAGACAGCAUUCAAUCUCAGAUGUCUGGAGACCUGGCAGAUGCUUUGCUAGCUGUGGGCAGAAGCUUUUGGAUGCGCACAAGUCACAGUCCGUAGUGAACAGAAGACCUUGAGCCAACACUUGAACAAGGGAUCAUCUCUGUUCCCUUCAUUCAGAGGAUGGAAAUGUGGAUUGUUCCAGGCCACAUUCAAGAAUUUCCACUUCUUUGGCACACUGUGAGUCAAAAGGACACACGAAUGUGUUCUAUACAUGUCUUUCUCUCCUCCUAUCCCCCACAGGGCCUUCGAAGAACCUCUACCACUUCCAACCUAAAAGCGCUGUGGUAUUUGGCAGUUUGACACAGAAAAGUUUCUCAUUAAUGGAAUUCAUUGCCACUGUGUUCUGGGGUUGAGACAUUCAAAAUACUUGGAGUUCCAGGUUUUCAGCAGUGAAAUGAUAAAGAACCAAUCUGUGUUAUGAGAUUCACUGUGAGCCUCAGUCUAAUUGCACAGGUCUCAGGAGAGGGCAGUGCAGAGCUCAGGUGCUGACCACGUGCCUUUUCUAUGUUAUCUUCUUAGAAAGAACCUACAACGAGUAUCAUUUCUCUAGAACUGCUGAAGAAAUACCAAAUGCGUCAGUUCCCCCUGAUUUUAUAGAUGGAACACAAGACAAAGAGAAGGACUGCAGAGGCAGCUAAACAAAUGGCUUGGCUUGAUUAGAAUUUCUCCAUGCAAGUCAUUUCUAAAAAUCUGAAUUCAGCUGAGGCUGAACAGUUUCUAUUGUUUCUUGAACUCAGAUAUCACCAACUGUAUAGUAAGGGCUUAUCACUUCAGUUUGCAAUUCUAUGUCACUGAUUAUCAGCUGAAUCCAAUGUCAAAGUUUUUUUAGUUUUGUUUUUUCUCAGAUACAGUAUGUUCCCUUCAGAAAAUAUUCUUAAGGACAACUUAACCUAAUUCAUUAUAAAAUAUCCCAGCCAUGUCUGAGAACAUUGAUAUGUUAAAGGCCUUUUUUUUUUAUUGUGGGGAUGGAGCUAAAUAUGGAAAAUGUAUUGAUAUUUUCUUCCAUUUAGAACAUCCUG
ensembl:lncRNA